rnacentral:misc_RNA from 1 species
AGUACUGUCAGCCAAAUUGCUCAGCAGGUUGAAAGCCAAGACGUUGGGGACAUUUUCUCAGGUUUAGGAAGUGGCCAAGGCAGUGGCCUUGAUCUUUCAAGGAUGGUCCAACAAAUGAUGCCAGUAGUUUCCCAGGUCCUUGGACGUGGGUCAGCUGCUCAGCCAUUCUCUCAUGUUGAGCCUGAACCCCAGCUGCAGUAUAAUGGGAGGAGAUCAAGUGUAAAUGAAAAACCUAUUGACCAAAAUGUUCAGGUUGACCUCCAGGAAGUGGCUCAGAGAAUUGAACAUUUGGAUGCCCCUGGUGAUAUUU